rnacentral:lncRNA from 1 species
UCAAAUACACAAAUGACGUAAAUGACCCAUGGUCACAACAAUCGAAUGAAGAAUGCCUAAUACAUCUCUUCAUACUUAAAAAUACAAAUCUGGGAUUCCCCUAACACCAUGUAAAUGUAUUCUCGGCUAGUAAGGAAUAUUAAAAGCAGCAGCCAUGGUUAAAUUACACUGUCUGACAUAUAAAUGGAUUUUUGAUUAAAGGAAUACAGACAUGGAUUUUGGUGUGGUGGUUACCACAAAAGCUUUUCUGCUGAAGAUGCGUCUGCAGAUGUCUUCUUUAUGGAUUCAUUGAAAUAAUAUGCUGGUAUAGCGUAUAGGCACUGAAUUGGAUGUAGAAUAUAAGGCAGCAUAGCAGGAUUAAAACAGAAAUAAUUGAUUGUUUUUAGGAAAAA